UCGAUUUUGUUUUUAUCUCACUAUCCAUCCACUUAGGGCAACUAUGCGUAACUCCAAGGGAAGCCUCGACUGGUUUGGUAGGAUCAUAUCUCAAGCAAGAACAUUCAGGCGCUGGAUGGGAGAGAAAAGACAAUGGCUUUGAUUUUGAGGAUGCUUCUAUUACACCAUCAAUUAAACUUCUUCUAAGAUGUUUGCGUAUUGAAGUCAGCCAGGUAUGAUUUGCUUGGUACAAAUGUUCGCGGUUUUCUUCCAAAAGCUUGACAACUUCCUUUCUAUUAUACAGGAGAAAAACAGAUCCUUGUUAACAGACAGAAAAUAGGUGAUGUGCACUGACCCUCCAUGUUUGAACGCGUCAUCACUUAGAUUUGUGCAGACUGAAUGACAAAAUGACUUCUAUAAACACAAGAAUAGAUAAAAUGUAUAGCAUGCUUAGCUGAAUUUGUAAGGCAUAUGGUCCAACCAACAAGAAUUAGUUGCAAAAGGAGACUACACAAACCAACUUAACAAGUUAAUCCCAGUACCUGAAAUUAGAACACAUUAAAGAAAACAUGGAAGAGGCCGGAGUAGAUGGGCACUCCCAUUGGACAUGUUUGAGGAUAAGUGUUUUCCAUGAAAGUAUUUUUGCGAUUCAAAUUUACUCCCGUGGUU
rnacentral:lncRNA from 1 species